rnacentral:rRNA from 1 species
AGUAGGGAAGUGUGUGAGCCAUGCGUCAAGAAAAGCCGCUAUUGUUUUACUUAAGCCCGUACCGUAAACCGACACAGGUGGAUGAGGAGAGAAUCCUAAGGCCGACGGGAGAAGCAUUGUUAAGGAACUCGGCAAAAUGACUCCGUAACUUCGGGAGAAGGAGUGCCAGCGAGAGCUGGCCGCAGAGAAUUGGCCCAAGCAACUGUUUAGCAAAAACACAGGUCUAUGCAAAACCGUAAGGUGAAGUAUAUGGGCUGACGCCUGCCCGGUGCUGGAAGGUUAAGAGGAGAGGUUAGCGGUAACGCGAAGCUUUGAAUUUAAGCCCCAGUAAACGGCGGCCGUAACAAUAACGGUCCUAAGGUAGCGAAAUUCCUUGUCGGGUAAGUUCCGACCCGCACGAAAGGCGUAAUGAUUUGGGCACUGUCUCAACAAUGCACCCGGUGAAAUUGGAAUACCAGUGAAGAUGCUGGUUACCUGCGCCAGGACGGAAAGACCCCAUGGAGCUUUACUCCAGCUUGAUACUGGGAUUCGGUAUUGCAUGUACAGGAUAGGUGGGAGGCUAGGAAGUGAUAACGCCAGUUGUCACGGAGCCGCUGUUGGGAUACCACCCUUGCAGUAUUGGAUUUCUAACCAGCGACCAUGAACUGGUCGGGGGACAAUGUCAGGUGGGGAGUUUGACUGGGGCGGUCGCCUCCGAAAGGGUAUCGGAGGCGCUCAAAGGUUCCCUCAGAAUGGACGGAAACCAUUCGAAGAGUGCAAAGGCAGAAGGGAGCUUGACUGCGACACCGACGGGUGGAGCAGGUACGAAAGUAGGACUUAGUGAUCCGGUGGUAUAAAGUGGGAUUGCCAUCGCUCAACGGAUAAAAGCUACCCAGGGAUAACAGGCUUAUCACUCCCAAGAGUUCACAUCGACGGAGUGGUUUGGCACCUCGAUGUCGGCUCAUCGCAUCCUGGGGCUGAAGUAGGUCCCAAGGGUUGGGCUGUUCGCCCAUUAAAGCGGUACGCGAGCUGGGUUCAGAACGUCGUGAGACAGUUCGGUCCCUAUCCGGCGUGGGCGUAGGAUAUUUGAGAGGAGCUGUCCUUAGUACGAGAGGACCGGGAUGGACUGGCCGCUGGUGUAUCUGUUGCAUACCAAAUGCAUGGCAGAGUAGCCAAGCCGGGACGGGAUAAACGCUGAAGGCAUCUAAGCGUGAAGCCCCCCUCAAGAUGAGAUAUCCCUACGUAAGUAGUAAGACCCCUUGAAGACGACGAGGUAGAUAGGUCAGAGGUGGAAGUACAGUAAUGUAUGGAGCUGACUGAUACUAAUCGGUCGAGGGCAUGACC